rnacentral:SRP_RNA from 1 species
GCCGGGCGCGGUGGCGGGCGCCUGUAGUCCCAGCUACUCGGGAGGCUGAGGCAGGAGAAUUGCUUGAACCCAGGAGGUGGAGCUUGCAGUGAGCUGAGAUUGCGCCACUGCACUCCAGCCUGGGUGACAGAGCGAGACUCCGUCUCAA